rnacentral:rRNA from 1 species
UACGUAGGGGGCAAGCGUUGUCCGGAAUUAUUGGGCGUAAAGGGCGCGUAGGCGGGUAUUUAAGUCCGGUGUGAAAGAUCAGGGCUCAACCCUGAGAGUGCAUCGGAAACUGGGUAUCUUGAGGACAGGAGAGGAAAGUGGAAUUCCUAGUGUAGCGGUGAAAUGCGUAGAUAUUAGGAGGAACACCAGUGGCGAAGGCGACUUUCUGGACUGUAACUGACGAUGAGGCGCGAAAGCGUGGGGAGCAAACAGG